CCUACGGGAGGCAGCAGUGAGGAAUAUUGGUCAAUGGGCGGGAGCCUGAACCAGCCAAGUCGCGUGAGGGAAGAAGGUACUGAGUAUUGUAAACCUCUUUUGCCAGGGGACAAAGGCGGCCACGGGUGGCCGUAAGAGGGUACCUGGAGAAAAAGCAUCGGCUAACUCCGUGCCAGCAGCCGCGGUAAUACGGAGGAUGCGAGCGUUAUCCGGAUUUAUUGGGUUUAAAGGGUGCGCAGGCGGCGUGUCAAGUCAGCGGUAAAAUGUCGGGGCUCAACCCCGGCCGGCCGUUGAAACUGUCAGUCUUGAGUACCGGAGAGGUCAUCGGAAUUCCUUGUGUAGCGGUGAAAUGCGUAGAUAUAAGGAAGAACACCAGUGGCGAAGGCGGAUGACUGGACGGCAACUGACGGUGAGGCGCGAAAGCGUGGGGAGCAAACAGGAUUAGAUACCCCGGUAGUC
rnacentral:rRNA from 1 species